CUUCGAUCACCACCAGCCUGUCGAGUUCUCCGUCCGUUUAUCCCAUCUCUUCCGGUUCAGUGCGCCCCCCCCCCCCGGUUCUCAAGCGCGUCGCUGUUCCCGUUCUUCCUCGUCGGGAGAUCGCGGUCCUGCUGCCUCCACACCGUCCGCAGUCUUUGGCUUUCGAGAAACAAUGGGCAGGACCAACAGCUGCACCAUUUAUGUUGGCAAUCUCCCUGGAGACAUCCGUGAGAGGGAGGUUGAAGAUCUCUUCUACAAGUAUGGCCGUAUUGUGGAUAUUGACUUGAAGAUUCCUCCACGACCUCCUGGCUAUGCUUUCGUUGAGUUUGAGGAUCCCCGUGAUGCAGAUGACGCAAUUUAUGGCCGUGAUGGGUAUAACUUUGAUGGCUACAGGUUGCGGGUGGAAUUAGCUCAUGGUGGAAGAGGCCAAUCUUACCAGUAUGAACGCCCAAGAAGCUAUAGCAGUGGACGCCGUGGAGGUGUUUCUAGGCGCUCUGAGUACCGUGUUUUGGUUGAUGGGUUACCUUCGUCAGCGUCAUGGCAAGAUCUCAAGGACCAUAUGCGACGGGCUGGCGAUGUCUGUUUCUCUGAUGUAUACCGUGAGGCUGGAGCAAUUGUUGGAAUUGUGGAUUAUACAAACUACGAUGACAUGAAAUAUGCGAUUAGGAAGCUUGAUGGUACAGAGUUCAGAAAUGCAUUUUCACGGUCAUAUAUCAGGGUGAGGGAGUAUGAUGCUAGAUCAAGAAGCAGAAGCCGUAGCCUUUCUUACUCGAGAAGUCGCAGCUGCAGCAGGAGCGAGAGUCCACGAUCUGUCUCUCGAUCACCGUUACCUGUGGAUGAAAGAUCUGGCCAUGCGGCGAUCUGGGGACUGCUUUCAUAGAAUAUUGGAUGUAUUGAGUUCGGAGAGGAUGGUUGGAACUUUGGAUAGUAGAGCUGGAUUAUCAGCAUGUAUGGCAAGUGGGCAACAAGUCCUAGGAGCAAGAUAGUCCUGACAGUAAGGAUAUGUGCAGUGGGUCUUGUGGUAUUAUUUAAUGGUGUUAAUUGUAGGCUUAAAUUUCAAAUAUUCGAUAAACAUGGGCUUCAUUUUCAUUGGGCUCUAAACCUUCUUUUAAUUAAUCUUGCUAUUCUGCUAAAAAUAUAGAUCAACGAUGUUAGGUAAUCAUAAUUUACUUUGGGCAAGUUAAGUGUACAUACUGAGAAGUUGGUAUUAACAAAUGAAGGAGUACACCCUGUUUAGUUCUGCUGUUCAGUUUCAGUUCUAAUAGUCACAGCUAUAGGUUCAAUCAGAUAUGUCAAAAAAAAUUAUACCAGUAAGCAUGGAGCGCAAAAUCCAUACUAAGCACUAGGAUUCCUCUGUCCUAUACUCUUCACGUACUGUUACAUCCAUAGCCGAUGGGUAUAUCUAUGGCUGUUGGUUCGAUUUCAGUGUUAAUUUUGGAUGACACCACACUUUGAGUAAUGAACAUUACUUCUGAAACCUUUUGCAGAUCGCUGUCAAGAUCCCGAUCCCCCGAUUCUUCUGCCUCUCCUAGAAAAUCUGUGAGCAGAAGCCCUAGCAGGAGCAGGAGCUUAUCCCGGUCUGCAUCUCCUGUGAGAUCUGAAUGAUCCUGUGCGCAUCUGGAAGUAGUGGGCGACUACUCUAGGAUCCAGGGACGUAGAGGAAUUAGGAUUACGAGUUUAUACCUCGCCUCUGGGGUUUCAGCUGCUGCGCUCAGAUCGCUGCUUUCUGUUUUAUCUGCACAACAUUAUAUUGAUUUGCGGAACAGAGUCAUUGCCUAGCAUGCUUGUCUAUGUUGAACUUGUUAUGUGUCCUGUACUCGGAGAUCAACAAGUGUUCUGUACUCAGAGAUCUGUACUCUAUGGUUAGUUUAUGCACUGUUGGCGUUAGUUUUAUGCACUGUCGGCGUUAGUUUUAUGCACUGUCGGCAUAGUAACAUUUGGGCUUUCGGGAUGAACCCUGCUCUGUUUGUUAGUAACUUACUUAGUGACCCUUGUUGUUUUUGGUAUUGAUAAACUGUAAUGGAAUCUCAAGAUGGCAA